GCAAAAUGGCGACUGUCAUUCACAACCCCCUGAAAGCACUUGGGGACCAGUUCUACAAAGAAGCCAUAGAACAUUGUCGCAGCUACAAUUCCCGGCUUUGUGCUGAACGCAGCGUCCGUCUUCCUUUUCUGGACUCACAGACUGGAGUAGCUCAGAACAACUGUUACAUUUGGAUGGAAAAGAGGCAUCGGGGACCAGGACUAGCCCCGGGUCAGCUCUAUACAUAUCCAGCUCGCUGCUGGCGCAAAAAGAGACGUUUACAUCCUCCUGAAGACUCCAGGUUGAAGCUGCUGGAGAUUAAACCUGAAGUUGACCUGCCUCUGAAGAAAGAUGGUUUUACCUCAGAGGGGACCACACUGGAAGCCCUGUUGCGUGGAGAAGGGCUUGAAAAAAAGAUAGAUACUAAAGAGGAGGACACUCUACAAGAAAUACAGAGGGUUUUGGAAAAUGACGAAAAUGCAGAUGAAGUGAACGAGGAGGAAGAGAUGGAAGAAGAUAUUCCAAAACGGAAGAAUAGGCCCAGAGGACGGGCUCGAGGAUCUGGAGGUGGCAGGCGAAGGAAUGACGUUUCUUCCAUGGAUGACCAUGAUAAACCUUAUGUUUGUGACAUUUGCGGCAAACGCUAUAAAAACAGACCAGGUUUGAGCUACCAUUAUGCUCACACUCACCUUGCCAGUGAGGAGGGGGAUGAUGCUCAGGAGCAGGAGACACGCUCCCCACCUGUCCACAGAAAUGAAAAUCAUAAACCCCAGAAAGGACCCGAUGGGAUCAUCAUUUCCAAUAACUACUGUGAUUUCUGUCUUGGAGGAUCCAACAUGAAUAAAAAAAGUGGCCGACCAGAGGAACUUGUCUCAUGUUCAGAUUGUGGGCGCUCUGCUCAUUUGGGAAGAGAAAGCAGGAAGGAGGAGGCGGCGGCGGCACACACUACGGAGGACUUGUUCGGUUCCACAUCUGAAAGCGACACUUCAACUUUUCAUGGCUUUGAUGAAGAUGAUUCUGAAGAGCCUCUCUCAAACCAGAGAAGCAGCUCCCCCUCAGCAAACAAAAAGGGAGGCUGCUAAAAUAACUAAUCACUUACAAACUCAGUGAGCAACAUGAUCCCACCCUUUUCCCUAUUUUUUCCUCUUAUUAUUCUUGUUGCAUUUUUAAUUUGAUCAAUUUUCACCUUUGGGGUAUGUACACUGAAAGCACAACAACCUAAAACUUGAGAAAAAUUCUCUGAAAAUUGAGUUAUUAAAUUAUCCCCCUUCUUUUUUUCUCCUUUUGUCUUUGCGAACCUCAAGUAUGGAUGUCCUUCGAAAGUUCAGGAGAGAGCUAAUUAUUUCAACUUUUACUAUAUGUGUUAGCUAUGAAAAAUACAGAAGGGUUAAAUGCCAGAUACCCUUCUCAAAUAGUGUUUUUUAAAUAUUUAUUUAUAUAUUCUAUAUAUUAUAAGAAAAAGACCUUUGAAAUUAAGGGGAGAAAGCAAGAAAGAAAGCAAUGAAGUCUACUUGAUAAUCUGACCAUUCUGAAGGAGAAACUGCUAUAAGAUGGAUUGUUCCAGAUGAAAAGGAAACCCUUGCUGGUGUGACACUUGCACUGUGAAAAGUUUGUAUUUACUGUAGCACACUGGAGUUUGUGACUUCCUCUUUUGCCCUCCUGCUGCCCACACCUUUAAGAGUUUGAAAAAGGCAACAAAGAUCAUAAACUGAGGAAUUUCCUUCUUUCUUCUUGUGGACAUAUUUGUAUUCCCUAAAGAAUGCCUCAUCUCUCCCACCUUGACAUCUUUUUACUAGGCGCUGUUUUUCUUUUCUCUUGUCCCCCCCUCCCCGCCUCACCUUCUACAUUGUGGAGUUUCCAAGCACAGGAUGGAAUAUAACUGUCAAGUCACAGAGUCUGCAAAGAUGAAACAAAGACUGUGGAUCUUUGAAGAAAAGGAAAAAAAUACCUCGUGUUUCUUUUAUUUUAAUUUUUUUUAAAAACACAAAUAAACCCAUUAGUCUUAUUUUUGAUAGCUCCUCUUGAAAUAAACCAAAGCAAUACUCACUAACCAUCAAAGGGCAAUGGAGAAGAUAGAAACUCUCUCUCAUUUGCUAUUCCAGCAGCAAGGAGUUGAGCAGCAGGAUUUAAAAGUUAACUUUCUUGUGCUCACUCGGAUUCUGAAUCCAUCAUCCUUCAAGAUAAUUGUUCAAGAAGCCAAUCAAGAGUAGCAGGAUGCUUUGAUCUUCCUCUCAUUGCCUGAUCCUUUCAUACCUGUGUCUCAUCCAGCACAGAAGCCUGGACUGUGGAACGCCUGCUGGCACUUGCUCAGAGAAGUCUUGGGGAUUCCCUAAGCUUGUGCAAUACAAAGAAAAUACUUACAUUUUUUUGAAAUUACCCUUUCUUUAAGUGUUGUGUGUGUGUGCGUGUGUGCUCGCGUGUAUGUGUGUGUGUCUAUAUGAGCCCAGGUCAAACUGGAACUGAUGUAAAGUAAAAGUGACUGAAAAGAACAAAAACAAGAACCUUGGAAAAAACAGACAAGUUAUUUUAUUUAUUUCAAUAUUUAAGAGAGAAAAGUAGUGCUGAUGUUGCACAGUAUUUUUGUUUAAAAUGCAUUUUACUUCAAAAUUUAAAAGCAAUUUUUGUGAAGAGAGAACUUUUUCAAAAGUGCUUAAUGUAAGCUAAAGACUAUUUACUUUUAGGAGAAUUUUUUUUUAAGUUAUGAAAAUAAAGAUAAACUCUGUUCUCUCUUACUUUAAAGAUACCAUUCGUUCACAUGCUGGGUGUUUUUAUUUUUUCAAAGUGGAUUUGGUAAGUGAAAAAUUGUUUGGCUUAUUUUUCGGAAUGUCUACUAAUGUUUCCCAAUUUGAUGUACUGUAUUGGACAAAAAAAGAGAACAAAAUAGUUUGAAAAGGAAAUGAUGAAUUCUGGACAGAUUAUGACAAAGACUAUUAGUACAGAGUGCAAUAACUACAGAUCAAUAGAAAGUUUAGGCAUUACCAGUUUUCUGUAAUAAUACCACCAAGCUAAGUGCUUUAAAAUGGAAAUAAAUUGUUAUUAUAAAGCUGUCUUUUUAAAUGGACAAUUCAUGCUCAAGCUAAUAGCAACUUGAAAUAAAAAAACCCUGACAAAUGGCAAAUAAUACAAAAUUAAGUAAUUGGAACAAUGUACCAGGUUUGCCAAAACUUCAGUUUGUGAGAAGGGAAGUCCAAGAUUUCUAUAGAUUUUUCUCUUUCCAGCUGCAGCCCUGCAGCACACCUUAUGUCAUUCUGAAAGGAGGCCCUUACUUUCAGGAAUGGCAUUCCAGGGGCUGCAAUAACAAGAGAGGGGGAGGCUAGGAAAGCCCUUUUUCGGGACAAGAACGCUUGUUCGUCAUUCUCCAGAUAUACAUCUCUCUAAUACUGAUCUAUUGAGCUGUUUGAAAGAAUGUUUGGGAGGCAGAUGGACACAUCAGAAAUCUUAACCUUUCUAUGUAAUUAGCAGAAUUCAUAAAUUGGAUCCAGACACUGCUUUUAUUACUUUAUAGUUUCUUAGGAGCAAUAUAUGACAAUUGUUACAGGAAAUUGUGUACAAAAAUCAAUCUGUGUCAAUGUCUCCCUAGGAAAGAGUUCCAUUGGAAUGGGUUAUUCUAAUAAUUUGAUUAAGAAGGAUAAGAAAGAUGCUAGAUUCCUAUGGGUUCAGUAUUGUGCCUGAGGAAAGUCACUUAACCAGUUCAUUCUGAUGCAACUUCUCAAUGUUCGUAUGCUCACAAGAUGAUGGUAAAAAGCCCAUUGUGUGAAUGGAUAGAUGUGACUUGAAAUUGUACAUGCACCAUAAACUUUUUCAUAUUUACUUGGAAGUCUCACAUAGCACAAUGGGGCUUACUUUCUCAUAAAUAUGCUUAGGAUUGCAACUUACACAUUUGGUUUUGAGUAAUGCUCAUUAAAGAUGGUACAAUUCCAUUCUCUUAAGAUUCAAACUUGAAGCCUUCUCUUCCUCUGAAAUUUUGGGAGCAAACCUUUGAACUCUGUUGCUGCACAGACGUCAUGUUUCCACUGGAUUUACUUGGAAAUCCAGUAGGCUGAAGCUUCAUUAAAAUUGUAUAGCAUUGUGCUGUGAAUUUUUCACACCUAUUUGGGUCUCCUGGGAAAUGCUGGAUAUGAGUAGGGUUGCCAGGUCCAGGUUGGAAAAUUCCUGGAGAUUUUGGGGGUGGAGCCUGCAGAAGGUGGGGUAUGGGGAGAGGAAGGGCCUCAGAAUGCAAUAGAUCAAAGCAAGAGUCCCAAAACACUGCACACUGAAACCAAUGCUUUUAUUGGGGUGAAUGAGAAAAGAUACAGACAUUUAGAAAGUUUUCUUCAAUCAGGUUUUCUUGGAAAUUGGCAGACUACAUUUAUGUUGCCAUUUAAUUUUUCCCCAUUAAAUAUAAAAUGCAAAUCCAUAGUGGAGAACUACUUGUACUCAUUUGUUUUGUGUUCUCAUGAAGUCUGCUCCCAAGGCACCUACUGUAUGUUUCUCUGUAAAUAGUAGUUAACCUAGACAUUUUUAAAGAAAGAAAUUGUGAAAUUGCAAAUGCUGUACAUAGUUUUUAAAGAUUCUGAUUGUUUACAAUGCUAUCC